rnacentral:lncRNA from 1 species
CAAAGAAAUGAUUCGGAAACCACAAGAACCACCCACAAGAAAGAAGAAAAAAACAGCGGAAAACGAAGCUUCAGCUUCAGCUGCAGAAAUAACAGCUGAGCCUGAGCCUGAGCCUGAGCCUGAGCCUGAACCUGAGCCUGAGCCUGAGCCUGAGCCUGAGCCAGAGCCUCUACAGAUCGAUUCUUGAGUUUAAAAUCUUGUGGUAGGAUUUUCAGAGCUAAAGUAAAGUUUUGUAUAUUUACUUUUCUACCAUGUCUCAAGAGAGCCAAGAGC